rnacentral:rRNA from 2 species
GGAUGCGAUCAUACCAGCACUAAAGCACCGGAUCCCAUCAGAACUUCAAAGUUAAGCGUGCUUGGGCGAGAGUAGUACUAGGAUGGGUGACCUCCUGGGAAGUCCUCGUGUUGCAUUCC